UACGGGGGGAGCAAGCGUUGUUCGGAUUUACUGGGCGUAAAGGGCGCGUAGGCGGUCAGCACAAGUCAGUUGUGAAAUCUCCGGGCUUAACCCUGGGAUGCCGGUGGAUACUGUCGGGCUCGAGUCCGGAAGAGGAGUGUGGAAUUCCUGGUGUAGCGGUGAAAUGCGCAGAUAUCAGGAGGAACACCAAUGGCGAAGGCAGCACUCUGGGACGUGACUGACGCUGAGACGCGAAAGCGUGGGGAGCAAACAGG
rnacentral:rRNA from 1 species